AUGACGCGUCGUCAUGGUUCGAACCCCUUCCCCACGCCACGAUCCAUCCACAUAUACAUAACAGCUCAAAGAAAAUACGAGCCAGUUGGAACCCACGAACCCAACGCACGGCUCCACUCUCCAGACAACUGUUCGCUCCUCCCCAUCCCGAUCUCUUUCCCUCCACCGGCACGCGCUUGCCGCCGCCGCCGCCCCACCUCCACCUCCGAUUCUCCCUCACCCAUCCCGCCUUCGCCCUCUCCCUACACUCGCCGCUUCUCCUCCGUGACGUGUGGCCCAGCCACCACUCGCCACCUCUCCCUCCGCUGCGGCCGCCGGGGCCACGCUCCCGUGUGCACCGUGCAAUGCAAGUCUGUCGCGCUGGAGGGGUUCAAGGAGGAGCUGUGCAGGCUACUGGAGCUUCUCCUCGGGGAUCUGUGGCGGUGGGCGAAGGAUCACCCGGAUCUCCCUGCGUUGGUGGAGGUGGUAAUGGACCUCGGCCGCACCCCGCUCGCCCGCUUCCCUUCAGGCGACUUCCUCCUCUCCCACCGCCUCCCUCAUAAUCCCUCGGCACCGACACGAUCGCAUAUUGGGUCGUUGUUCUCUGCAAACAUGAGCAGUUCUUGUUGCACCCACGCGGCGCUGCCGACCGCAGCCUUCAACGCCUCCCGUGGACGUUGCCGCGCUCAGCUCAGGGGAGAGCGGUCGGAUCCCACCGCCACAUCGGCUCCGGGCGAAAGCCACGCCGCCGGGACAUCGGCUCCGGGCGAAAGCCACGCCGCCAGAUCCCCCCACGCACCACCGCCUGCAGGUCUUCGUCCGUUAGGGGCCUUCAUGCUUCCACUGCUCCAUUUGUUGCACGGAGGGCUUGAAUAA
rnacentral:rRNA from 1 species